rnacentral:rRNA from 1 species
UACGAAGGGGGCUAGCGUUGUUCGGAAUUACUGGGCGUAAAGCGCGCGUAGGCGGUGAUUUAUGUCAGAGGUGAAAUCCCGGGGCUCAACUCCGGAAUUGCCUUUGAAACGGGAUCGCUAGAGUUCGAGAGAGGAUGGCGGAAUUCCUAGUGUAGAGGUGAAAUUCGUAGAUAUUAGGAAGAACACCGGUGGCGAAGGCGGCCAUCUGGGUCGGUACUGACGCUCAGGCGCGAAAGCGUGGGGAGCAAACAGG